UCCGCUGGUGCGGCUCUCGCUGUUCCCUCAGUGGUUUCCUGAGGGGAGAGGGGUCUCAUGAGGGGAGAGCGAUCGCCGGGUUCCCGGGAGAGGCUCCGCGCCGCGCUCCGACAGGCUCCCAGGACCAUAUAUGGUCCCUCCAUACCGCCAGCCUGCAUCCUGGUGUUCCAUAGGGAAGAAACAGAAGCGGUGUAACACCAGAACUGGUGUUAUUUCAGCUUUUUCCUAUACAAGGAAAUGGGAGGACAGUGAAAAAUGAUGGAAUCUGUACAUAGUUUUCAGAUUGUAUGCCACACACGCUAUAGGGUUACAUAAUGGAGUGAGGCGGGAGGGAAAGCACGGGAAUUAUUCCGUGGUUUCUCAAGAGAGAGAGCAGAGGCUUUGCAGAGCCUUCUUAGACAAUCACUGCAAACACUGUGCAACAAGGAAAUAAGUGGCGAAGUGCCACCACAUUAUUUCACCAAUCCCAUUUUUCAGUGCGUGCUAAUCGCAUUCCUCGGGAGCUGUAACCUUGAAAUCGUCACCUUGCCGGUUUCCACAUAGUGUCCAGUUUCCUGACCUGCUGCUGCAGCUUGCGAGAAAUAAAUACAAAAAUCUGUGACAAUCACCUGAGGACUUUCCGUUUUCUCCAGAGGUGCUGCUGGUUUAAAAAGAAAGCAGGAACAAUUAGCACAGUUGCCUACUCCUGUCCUGGAGGUCUCUGACCCUGCUGAGGAUGUGAGGGGCGUCCUCUGAGCCACAAAGGACCCACAUGAAGGACACCUGUCCUGGAGCACACCUGGUAAACAGGAACCUUUCCCUUUGUUCAAGUGUGGGAGCAGCAUCAAGGAUUUGGGUAGGAUUCCUCCCAUAACCCUGGAUUACAAGUGGAGCUGGCCUAAGUUUGGACCUGCAAGAGGCUGAAGCCCCUGGCUCCACAAGUGGAUUUGAAGGGGGAUGUCCAGGAGCUUUGCUCCUGCAAGCACAAGGGCUCUCCAUGCUAAUAACCAGUACAGAAUAUGUGAGGAUUCCUCAGUCCCUCUCCUGCAUUUUUUCAGGCACUCUAAAAAAAAUACAAGUUCUUCCACAUUCUAAAAGGAAAGAACUUACAGAACUACUCUGCUUACCAAAACACAAACAGAAAAAUAUUUUAAAGCCCAAAAAGAACACUUAUACCUCUUUAAAAUUACCCUAAUUUUAAUCUUCAGGAUUUUUUUCCCCCUGAGCUCAAGUCUUUUGUCAUCCAAGCAUUGUAAACUUCCAUGCAAGUAGAACUGCCAUUGCUUAAUCCACAGGCUUUAAAGCAGAUGAGGUUGAGUGUCUGGCUGCAGGGCUAAAAGCUCUGGAGAUACCACAGGCAGAAUCCAUUGUGUGAUUCUGCCUGAAGCUCAUUGCUUCUGAAUCCCUGUGAAGUUCAGCUGAGUUACCUCAGACACCUGAAGGUUUGUAGGGAAACACUGGUACCUGCCAUUUAUCUUGGGGAUGGAGUACUGACCUUGCUACAAAACCAAAUAGGUUGUAAAGUCCCAGCUGUGCCAGCUUCUCUAGAAAGCCUUGUUUUCAUCCCAAUCCAUUGGCAAUGGCACCUGGUAGGUGCCAGAGCAGAGAUUUCCACGUGGCUCGGUCUUAGCACAGGACACAGAGUUGUCUUCUUGAAUCCACAACAUUCCAUGAUAAAGGAUUGGUUCAGCUGAGCAGAUCCUGCCAGAAAGAUGAUUGUCAGUCCAAGGGCUGCACAGAUAGGUGGAUUUCAGUGGAUAAAGCUGACUUUGGACUUGGUAAUCAACUCUGGCCAUUCUCCCUUGGAAUCAUGGCCCCCUGUAUAGCAAAUUUAAAGGUACUGACACCAAAAUUCCUUGUCUUUGAGAUCUUUUGCAGACCUGUUCAAAGCAGUGCACAAGACUCCAAGGAUUCAUGGGCUGUGGAUUGAAAAUAGUCCUAGAAAAACACAAUGCCUCUGCUUAUUUUUCUGCAGAUCACUCGUUAGAGUUCCCGUCAGCGCUGUCAGAGGGUGAAAUCUUGGCCCCAGCUGAACUCAACAGGAAUUUUGCCACUGACUUGAAUGGAGCUAAAAUGUCACUCCUGCUAUUUGUCAAGGCAAUUACAUCCAGACAAUACUUUAACAUCUGGCUUCAAGUGAACACACAGAGCAGUUCACUCCCUCAGUCUCUGAAGACAACACAGGACAUUGGCUAUCUCCAUAAAAAAUGAAACAUUUGUUCUUGGCAAGCUGCUUGUAAUGAAGGGGGGAUCCAUCCACUGACAUCCAGGAACCAAGUCCCUGUUCCUUAGCCUAUAGUUAUUGGCAAUAGCAUCAAUAGAUUUUCUUUCACUUUCUGGGAAGAAUGUCAAAAGCACCCAUCUACUGUUGCAAGUCAUUCUGUUGUAAAAACUUUGUUUAGAACAGCAGAUCUGGCCUCAUCUGUGGUUUCUCACAGAUGAGGGGGGUUUUCACCCAGUUCAUCUCCUGUUUCCCAAGGCACUGGAAGGUCCCUUGUUAGGUCAGGGAGCAGCAUUUCUGUCUAAACUUUUCUGUGUGUAUGGUGGUCAAAGGCAAGGCUGAAGGACAACUGAUUAUAGGAGAAAAAAUGGUGUGAGCUCAUUUCUUUUCUAAAAACCCACCUGAGACAAGGCCAUAUUGAUUUAUUGCAAAAUAUAAAGGUUAGGUCAACCUCAAGUGGGGCACACCUUUUACUAGUAGGAAAAAAUGAAAUCUUAUAUAUAGAAUUAUUUGAUCAGUGGUGAUUUAAAAAAUCUGUUUGAAUGGGAAGAAUCACGGGAUCAUAGAAUGGUUUUGGUUGGAAGAGAUUUUGAAGAUAAUCGAGUUCCAGCUGCAUGCUGUGGUCACAGACACAUUCCACUAGACCAGGUGGCUCCAAGCCCCAACCAACCUGGCCUUGAACACGUCUGGGAUGGGGCAUUCAAACUUCUCUGGGCAUCCACAACUUCUCUGAGUCAUUGGAUGAUGUCUGGAAGAACAGAGAUGUACAAAGAGAGGGCCUUUUAUGCAUCAGGUAGGCAGGGAUCUGUUCCCAGCUGGUGAGUUGCUGUACUGCUCACCUGUGCAAAACCAGCUUCCCUUGGUCUCCUUCCAUCCCCAGGGAUGCAAAGCUAAACUCAGUCACCAGCAUCUGAUGAGCCUUAAUUCCCAGCACUUAAAUAAUUAGCUCCUCAAAUGUACAAAAACAACUCUCAUUUUCUGGAUUAAUGAGGGGAGCUGGGUUCCACUGAGCACAGCUAUUAUGGAGCUGCUAAUGCAGUGUUGGAUUCCUGGCUGCCACUGAGCACAGAGCCACUGGCCCCUGGGAGAGGAGGAACACGGGAGAGCAACACUGCAGGGAGCCAGCAGGGGAAACCCUGGCACUGCUUUGGGGGUUUAUGCAGAGGGAGGGAGGGUUUUAUUUCUGUGUCUGCUGAGUCUCACCUGGGUUGGUGGUGACGCCAUGUAACCCAGAUGAAGGCUGAAGCUCAGGCACAUCCUGAGGAUGGGUAGUUGGCUUUAUCACUGGCCAGGUAAAGGCAGUUUCUGAAGCUGGGUAACAAAUAUGUGACACAAACAGAAACUUACAGCUUAGGUAGUCACACAGCAGCUUCUGCCCAGUUUCUGUAGCCAGAGCAGUAGGGAAUGGCAAGGAGCUGGAAGGCUACAGUGGGACUGGAAUGUUCUUGUCUUCUGUGUUCAUUUGGCUGAGGAGUUGGUAGGAAACUAGUUGCAAAAAGUCAAUCUUGCCUCAUUUUGGCAGGUACAGGCAUCUAAACUCUUCAAAACAAACUUCUGUUCUCUCUUUGGGAUCUUGGCACAGGGCUGGCAAAGUUUGUUUUUCCCAAAUGGAAGGAGAGGGGACUGAGGAAAUGCCAGCCUGCAAAGGAUGUCUUGCUCUGCCCUGGGAGGUUUAAACUGGGGCCACAUGACAUGGACAACUCAACACUGUUGGGACUGUUCCCUUCCUCUCUCUGCAUCGCUGAUUCUCUGCCUUGAACAUGGAAUAGGGAGGAGAGAAUGAUUGCAAAAGCAGGGAAUUUGAGAUGUAACUGCAGCCACUCAACAAAGUCAUGCAGCUUCUCAGAGAACUGGAGAUGAAAAGGCCUGGAGUGUUGAUUUUCUCAAAUUCUUAAGCCAUCAAAGAGCCCUUCAGGACAUGUCAUUCUCGCCCACCCAUUAGUACAUCCAAAUUAGUGGUCAUGCAGCCCUGGAUGUGGAUUUGGGGCUAAAUAUGUUCUCACACUGAAGUUCUCCUCCAACAAUAUGUUCUCGAGCACAUAACAUCUGUCACAUUUGCAAGCCAAACCAAACCAAAGCUUUUGACCUCUGUAAGACAAGUCUGAAAUUGCAAUGGAAGGCCUGGGUUAAUCAAGAACCUCCGUGAAGAUAUAGCAGGAGUUGAGAGGUUAACAUGGAAAUUCAUGGAACUGAGAUGGUUUAUGCAGCAAAGUUCCUGUUUCAUUCAGUGCCAGGCACCAGGGACACCAGGGACCUGCAGGUGCUCAAGAAUCUCAGCACCUUCCCAAACCAGGAGCACUCCCCUGGAGGUGGCCAUUCAAAAUUAAGCUCCUUUGGAAAUGCAUGGAUGCUGCUUCUCAUGUCAGGGCUUGUUGGACCACUGACUUCAGAGGAGUAAUUUAGCUGAAGCAAUCAGGAAAUAAUUAUUACAGUGGAGAGUUAAAAGACAGUAAUUAAACUGUAUAAAUAAAUAACUGAAGUGACUAAAAAAGUCCACCCAAAGCCUACUUUUGGAGCACUAUUUAAUGUAAAUGAAUCACUUAGUGGACAAUACAACAAUCAUCUGUUCAGCUUCUAUUCAUUAUCAAAAACAAUACAGAAGGAUUGGCAGGGAAUAGCCGUGUGCCAGAGGGAGCCCUUUAGGAAAUACCACAGAAUCUGGACUGGCUUUUGUCUGUUCUUCUAUUGUGUUCUGACAAUGCUCUGCUAAUGAAUGUCCAACGUCAUUUCAGUUGUCUUUUUCUUUUUUUUUUCCCCCAAACCAGAUCAGUGGUAAUCUUGGCCUUCUAGGGUUGCUUGUUCCUGUUGGGAGGACUUCCACACAUUAUGUAUCAGUUCAGCCAAGGUCCAAGAGGCUGAGGAUGUGUUGUCUCAGGCCCUUUGGGAAAUCCCACUGUAGCUGAUGAGACAAAAUCCUUUGACUUGGGCAAAAAUACACCAAGUUUUAAAGAAAUCAUCACAUAUCUCUGAAAGAUGCAGUACUCCAGUGAGUUGUAUACUCAGUAAAUUUGUCUUUUGUUACUCAAUUUGAAAGGACAAUAACCUCAUUCCGAGAAACAAGCUGCUUUUCCAUAGGGAGUAUUCACAUUGAUCAUUCCCAGCAUUAUCAUGGGAGUUAUCUGCAGGAAGCUGCAGGCUAAAGGGAAUCCCCAUCAGGAAUCUGGGGAGCUAAACCUAGCAGGCAGACACCUAUGCUAGAACAACAGAGGUAAGACAAUACCAAGCACUAAAAUGCUGUCAUUAUGCCUCAGAAUUGAUAAUCCACUGCCAUUCCCAUCUCUUAGAAGUUACUGGUUUGGAAUAGCUCCAAGUUCACACCCAAGGGUGCAGCAGGUACCCAGAGGGGUUCCCUUUUCUGACCUGGCUCCUUCUGCAUUGCUGCUGCAACUUUCAUCUCCUGCAGCAUUGCUGGUUGGACUCUGUGGAGCCCUGCAGUGCAAAAAUCACUGUGACAGUCUGAGUUAAGGAAACAGGGCAACAGUGAUACACUUAAGAAAAUAAACAGGCUCUUCUGCUGAGAAAAUGCACGUGGAAUAGCACCCAGAUAUGACUUUUCAAGGCUGUCUCUGAGGUUGUUUUAUUUUGUAUUAAAGAAAAUCUGAGGCUCUGCAGCAAAUUUCUGCAGCCAGGGUUUUCUGUCAAAUCCAGUGACAAUGGAGGAUGUGGGUUUCUAGUUAAAGCUAUCUAGAAUUUGAGAUAGAAAUGCACACUUCAUAAAAUCUUAUUCUGAGCUCAGUCUUCCAAAUAAAGCAGAGAUGGCAUCAAACCCUCCAGGGCCUUUUGCCUGCAAAAUCCUCACCAAGUUUGCUGCAAGCUUGGUGAGCAAUUUGGGAGUUUUACUCACAGCAUGAACUCAGAAUGCCACUGAAGGUGGGACCUGAGGGUUGACAGCCCCUCUGGGGGCUAUUUCUGAUAUUCCUGUUGCCAGCCUCUCCCUGUCCUUCAGCUGGAGAUCACUGGGGCUGCAGGAUGGGUGGCACAUCUCUACGUGUCACCGCAGUGCUCGGAAUAGCAACAGAACCCGAAAUGAUUGCUGGGUUGGAUUAAUACCCUGGGCUGUGUGUGGGGAUCCACAGCCCAGCCGCCACCUUGGGGCAGCACUGGGAACUCUUGACAGUGAGCUGGGGCAGCAAGAGCUGAAAUCCACCCUCCUGGAACUGCUUCACUCCUUGGGAGGCACCAUUAGUGCUACAGCUACCUCCAGACACACCGUUCUUGGUACCUGCAAGGCCAGGCUGCCAGCUGGAGUGCUGAAAAUGGGUGCUUGUAGCACCCUAAAACCACAAUCCUGAAUGCUGCCCUUCCACUAAAAUAAUCUGUCACUGGGCUUGGGCAGAGAGGGAAAACUGCUGAGCUUCUGAUCAACAGCAGUUCAUUUUGCAAGAUCAUUGCCACCAUUUGCACUAAUUGACACUUUUUUUAUAGUAAUCUCUAUUAAAAGGCAGAAUUUCGCAAGUAUGCUUUUGGUAGGAAAAGAAAAGCUGAUUAUGUUAAUGCUCAGUAUAUUAAGGGCAUCAUCCUUAUUUUGGGAGAAAGAAAAACCAAAAUAAUUACCCUCCCUUGUUUAAUAAAC